UUAAGCCAUGCAUGUCUAAGUAUAAACGAUUUAAUCGUGAAACCGCGAAUGGCUCAUUAUAACAGCUAUAAUUUACUUGAUCUUGACACAAUCCUACUUGGAUAACUGUGGUAAUUCUAGAGCUAAUACAUGCAUUAAAGCUCUGACCUCACGGGAAGAGUGCAUUUAUUAGAACAAAACCAAGCGGCUUCGGCUGUUUCUGGUUGACUCAUAGUAACUGAGCUGAUCGCAUGGUCUUGCACCGGCGACGUGUCUUUCAAGUAUCUGCCGUAUCAACUUUCGAUGGUAGUGUAUCUGACUACCAUGGUGAUCACGCGUAACGGAGAAUAAGGGUUCGGCUCCGGAGAGUUCGCCUGAGAAAUCGCGAACACAUCUAAGGAAGGCAGCAGGCGCGAAAAUUACCCACUCUCAGCACGAGGAGGUAGUGACGAAAAAUAACGAGACCGUUCUCUUAUGAGGCCGGUCAUCGGAAUGGGUACAAUUUAAACCCUUAACGAGUANCUAG
rnacentral:rRNA from 1 species